rnacentral:ncRNA from 80 species
UUGACCUCGGAUCAGGUAGGGAUACCCGCU